UAGGGAAUCUUCGGCAAUGGACGAAAGUCUGACCGAGCAACGCCGCGUGAGUGAAGAAGGUUUUCGGAUCGUAAAACUCUGUUGUUAGAGAAGAACAAGGACGUUAGUAACUGAACGUCCCCUGACGGUAUCUAACCAGAAAGCCACGGCUAACUACGUGCCAGCAGCCGCGGUAAUACGUAGGUGGCAAGCGUUGUCCGGAUUUAUUGGGCGUAAAGCGAGCGCAGGCGGUUUCUUAAGUCUGAUGUGAAAGCCCCCGGCUCAACCGGGGAACUGCAUUCGAAACUGGCAGGCUAGAGUCUUGUAGAGGGGGGUAGAAUUCCAGGUGUAGCGGUGAAAUGCGUAGAGAUCUGGAGGAAUACCGGUGGCGAAGGCGGCCCCCUGGACAAAGACUGACGCUCAGGUGCGAAAGCGUGGGGAGCAAACAGG
rnacentral:rRNA from 1 species